GUCCAGCUUCCCAGCUGCGUCGAGCUCCCGGCGCCCAGGGGGGGGAACCGCCUUGAGAACAGGUCAUGUCUCGCUUCCGUGUGGGCUUCUACGAGGAUUUCCUUGCAACGAAACCCUCUCGGUGUCUGCUACCGGGAGCACCUCCGGGAAACAGAGUGGGGAACGGAGGCGCUGACAGAGGUCAGGUUUUCAGUCUGUGAGGUGCUCGGUGGGUGACGCGAGCAGUGAUUACAGGGGUCCCCCCUUUCCGCUGCCCCCUCCGCAUCAGCUCUGCUGGCUCUGCGCAGAGUCUGGGGUCUGUUUCCCCCAGGUUCCCGCAGGCUUUUCUGUAACACUGCUCCUCCCCGACCCACCCACCUCAGUCCCUCCCCCGUAGCUGUGUGGCCUUGGGCAAGUCACUGUGCCUCUCUGAUUCUCUCUGUGCUGGGCUUAUUGCCCUCUCAGCGCAAACGCCAGCUUGGCUUCCUUGGCAACCGGAUCCCAAGUGGCCGGGCAUCUGCCAGCACUCUUGGCUAAAGGUCCCAAGGAAGCAGCCUCGGGGUUGGCGCUCCACUCGUCUUGGGGGCUUCCUCCUGUGCGGAGCCCUGGUGGCGCCUUGCCAGAGCCUGCAGCCCUGCUUACGGAAUCGCCUACCUGAUCCUCCCCACCAGCUUGGCUGCUGGCCACUCCCAUCUCAGACCUGCCUCAGAGACUCGUCCUCCGGCCCUGGAGCUGCACAGCACAGCCAGGGUGCCUGGAAGCUGACCUCUGCAUCCCUGGGCAGCCCCAGCCUGUGCACCGCAGCUGGAGAACCCAGCUCCUUGCCUUAAGGGGCACAAACUCAGCCGAUUGUGGUCACCACCCCGCGUGGAACCAUUCGAAAGUGGUUUAUCCUUGGCGGCACUUAGGAAACACAGCUACGACUCCUUCAACGCACAUCUCAGUGACAAGUAUAGUUUUGUCCCCUCUUGACUCUGGGCAGCGUGUGGCAGGCGGGUCACUCAGGGCCUGUGGAGCUGGAUCGCGAUGCGGCAGAGCCUGUGUCGGCCGAGUCCCCGCUGACCCAGCCUCCAGGGCAGCCCGUCCUGCAUCCGGGGCAGCGUGACCUCCGUCAACGCCGGGUGGCCCUGCCUGGACUCCUGACCACGGGGUCCCUUACACAGUGAGUGACGGUGCCGGCGGCCUCGGGGUGGCCUGGGGCGGUGGCUCUCAGAACCCUCCCCGCUCCGCACCCAGCACGAGGGCGGGGCCCACGGGGCACAGCCGCUUUGCCACCUCACGUUUCCCUGGAUGGUGUGUCCUGGCCGCCACUCUGGAGAUUUACAGCCCAGUGCUGGAGUUUCCUUUCUUAGGCAGCCUGAAAAUCUAUGUUCUAUUAAUAGGUGAGUUAUGACCAUAGGAUCAAUACGUUUUUGCCUUAGUUCUGUCGUCCUGUUUUACACCUGCCCGUGCGAGUUGUUUCAACAGUGUGUCUUGCUUGCACUGUGGUUUGUGUUUUCUCUCCCUCUCGAUGUCUCUUUGGGGCUUGAGAAAAGUCCCUGUUUUUCUUCCAGCUGCUGGUUUUACAUUAAUGUCUGUCCAUGGUCCGUUCGGGCCCCCCCCCCGCCCCCGCUUUUCGUCUGUCUUCCCUGUAAGGAGCAACCCUGGGACCUGCUCUAGUGCUCGUCCCGCAGUCUCUGAUUCGCGUCACUCUCCUUUGGGUCUCAGACAUCAACUGCAAGGCUGUCGCUGAGCUCAUCCUGAUCUUUGGAUGCUCCCCCCACUUUCCCUCCACCGUUGUAUCUGGUGGGACCAUCCUUUGGCCUUAACCGCACAAGUUCCCCUGUGUUCCGCAGGUUUCAAACUCCUGCCAGACCCUCGGGUCAUGCUUCUCUGGCUGUCGUGGUGGUUUGAGGCUCGUUGCCGGGUCAACUGCUCAGGACGUCACCUGUCGGGGUGACGGCCCCCCAGCUCCUGCUUGUGGACAACAGUUAGUUUGGGACCUUCACACGAGCGAGUCAGUUCGGCUGGACCUGCCGUCGCCCCGCCACCGCGGCCUGAGUGUCUGAUGCGCCUUCUGUGGCUUCCGGCGGCGAGUGCUCACGAUCAACCCGAUUUUCCUGGUAAGUGGCUUCGUCUUUUUUCUGCCUGAAUUCCAAAGGCAGCCAUGGAAUACGUCUCCCUGGUGAAUGUUCUGGAUCCGUUUUUCUAGACGCCCAAUGUUGUCUCAAGUCUUUAUACAUUUCAGGAAAGCUUUUUAUUUUUUUUUUUAUUUUUUG